rnacentral:rRNA from 1 species
GAGCCCGCACAAGCAGUGGAGUAUGUGGUUUAAUUCGACGCAACGCGAAGAACCUUACCAGAACUUGACAUCCCGGAAAGUCGGCUGUAAUGGCUGGUGUGCCCCUUCGGGGGAAUCCGGUGACAGGUGGUGCAUGGUUGUCGUCAGCUCGUGUCGUGAGAUGUUGGGUUAAGUCCCGCAACGAGCGCAACCCUUACGGUUAAUUACUACGAAAGAGUACCUUAACCGGACUGCCGUUGACAAAACGGAGGAAGGUGGGGAUGACGUCAAAUCAUCAUGCCCCUUACGUUCUGGGCUACACACGUACUACAAUGGCGCAAACAAAGGGAAGCAAGCCCGCGAGGGGGAGCAAAUCCCAUAAAAGGCGUCCCAGUUCAGACUGCAGGCUGAAACCCGCCUGCACGAAGUUGGAAUUGCUAGUAAUCGCGGAUCAGCAUGCCGCGGUGAAUACGUUCCCGGGCUUU